UACAGAGGAGCCAAGCGUUGUCCGGAUUGACUGGGCGUAAAGCGCACGCAGGCGGAUGCGCGCGUGGGGUGUGAAAUCAGGCCGCUUAACGGCCAGGCGCCAUCCCAUACGGCGCGUCUGGAGUGAUGCAGAGGUCGGUGGAAUUGCCGGUGUAGUGGCGAAAUGCGUAGAGAUCGGCAGGAACACCCAGGGGGAAACCAGCCGACUGGGCAUCGACUGACGCUGAGGUGCGAGAGCGUGGGGAGCGAACCGG
rnacentral:rRNA from 1 species